rnacentral:rRNA from 1 species
CACGUAGGGGACGAGCGUUGUCCGGAUUCAUUGGGCGUAAAGCGCGCGUAGGCGGCUCGGAAAGUCGGUCGUGAAAUGCCGGGGCUCAACCCCGGGACUGCGUCCGAUACUUCCGGGCUGGAGGUAGGUAGGGGAGAUCGGAAUUCCUGGUGUAGCGGUGGAAUGCGCAGAUAUCAGGAGGAACACCAAUGGCGAAGGCAGAUCUCUGGGCCGUAACUGACGCUGAGGAGCGAAAGCAUGGGGAGCGAACGGG